GGUUACACACCACUGCAUAUAGCAGCACUCCAUUCACAUGUUGACAUUAUGGAUCUUCUAAUUCAUAACUAUGGUGCAAAAACAAACGUAAGAGACUAUAGUGGACGGUUUGCAUCUCACUAUCUGAAGGACAAUGAUGACUCUGCUGACUGCUCAAAUGUCUCUUCACAACUCCAACAGUCCCGGGGCGAACGACGGAAUCGAAAACUUGCUGGUCUGUUCCUGCCAAAGAGCUAUGGAAGCAGCAGAAAACAUUGGGGUUCGGUGGAGAACCUGACAAUGGAAGACAAAGAUGGCUCCAUAUUUCUGUCUGUACCUACGUCGUACAAAGCUGUGCGCAAGUUUUCCCGAUAAGGUCCUUCAGAAAAUGUGGCUCAAAUGAGCCAGUGGAUCUGAUAUAUUUUUAUAAACUGCAUAUAUAAUGGCUUAUUAAAUGAAAUAUUAAAUCAUAAAAGUUGACAUUCAUCAGCAAAUGUGUUUUAGGACACAUUUUUUCACAAUGUUAUAAAGUUGACACACAGUGCAGAGGAAUCUUUUCUUCUAAAGCUUUUAAUGUGUUAAUGUAUAUCAUAUUAAUUAGUUCAAUGAAUGAAAAGUUAGCUGCAUGUAUUUGAGAUUUUUGUUCCUUCUGCCUCCCAUCACAAGUUCAGGAAUGAGAAAUCUCAUGCAUAGGCUAAUCAUGAAGGAUCAUGAUUAAUGAAAUUAAUAGGGGAGAGAAGUGGCAUGGGUGCUGAGGAGGUGACCCUUGCUUUGAUUGCAGGUUUCCCUUUCUGUGGUGCUAAGAUUUACUUUGAACCUUUCUUAUUCGGGCAGAGAUAUUGGGUAAGAGCUCAAUAAUCCUGCAGGUCUAUUUUGGUACCUGCAAGAAUAUUUUCAAAAUUAUUUUUCUGAAACCUUUGCAUUUGUUGAAGUUGUGAGAAAUUACUUCAGUGAGUGAUGUAGCAUUUGCCAUAAGAGGGUGCUGUAGAAAAAGCAUUUCUGGAUCUUUAUCCUUAUCAGAGUUUUUUGAACUGGUUGAGAUUGGGGGGAGUGGAGGUGAAUGGUGGAAGGGGAAUAAGCAAGCGUUUUUUUAUUCCGGUAUCAGGUAAUAAAAUAGUACAAUUUCCUAGCAGACGUCAGCUACCAAAUCAAGGUGACAUCUUAAUUUAAAGACAUGCUGCCCUACAGGUUGCAGCCCUGCAGUGACCAGUAGUGAGCUAGGAUUAGCCAGAUUGGAACUGUCUUGCCCAAUUAAAAUAAACAAAUAAAAAGUGAAAGGCACAAUGAGAAUAUAAAAGUAUCUCUGUGUAGUGUGUGUAUCAUCAAUGGAAGUCCUGAUCUAACAGCAUCUUGAAAAGUAUAGUUUAUAAUAUUGCUAGCUGUAAAUUGUUUGAACUUAACAUCUCUGCUGUUCCUGUUAAAUACUGCUGUAGUAAUUGUAACAAAGUCAACCGGGCGGACGACAUUGAAUGAGUUAAAAACUGGAUGCUGUCAAUCAAAAACUAAAACAGAAGUUGCUGCAAAAGCACAGCAGGUCUAGCAGUAUCAGUGAAGAGAAAUCAAAGUUUUUGUUUUGGGUCCGGUGGCCAUUCCUCAGAACAGAAUGAGUUCCCUGAUUUAGGGCUAUUAAACUGGUCCAAUCUAAGGGCCCUGGCUGACACACAAUCAGGAGUGUCAGAUGUUUUGUUCACCGAGCGCUGGCUCUGAGGAAGCUGGAUCAGUGUCAAGGACUCUCCACGUGUAAAUUAAAGGUGAUUUGGGUCAGGAUACUGGCUUCAGUGAUAACAAGAGAAAAGUGCACUCCUGAAGAAAUUCAGUCAUGACAGUCGUCAUUAAGUGGGGGUAAGCAUUUCUGGCAUCAUGCCAUUAUCUGGGAAGCUUGACCCAUUUGAUCCUGUCAUCAAAGACUGGGCUCAGUAUGUGGAAAGAAUGUUAUUUUUUCCAGGCAAAUGACAUUGGGGCAGAUGAAAAGCAACAUGUAAUUCUCCUGACAACUUGUGGACCUGCAGAUUUUUCAGUUAUUAAGACCCGAUACAAAAACCUUUCAAAAAAUUGACCGAUUUAUUUCAGGAAUAUGACAACGCUAAAGCUCGUCUACUUCUGAAAUGCUAUCAGUUUUACUUGGCAACUCAAGAACCAUGGGAUUCCGGAUCAGGAAUUUUGACUAGGUUGAAUUGAUUGGCCGAAGCAUAUGACUUUGGUUUAACCCUUAAUGAGAUGCUGAGGGGUGUUCGGUACAUGGAAUUCCUGAUGAAGGGUUUAUGUCCGAAAUGUCAAUUCUCCUGCACCUCUGAUGCUGCCUGAACUGCUGUGCUUCUCCAAUACCACACUCUUCAACUCUGAUCUCCAGCAUCUGCAGUCUUCACUUUCUCCAUGUAGAAUUCAUGAUGUAACCAUGUAAAAGCGUCAAUUAGCUAAAGCCCAACUGGACAUCAAACAGACACUACAACUGGAAACAGACAUUGAAAAACUCAGCAAGUGGAGCAUACAAGUUGCAGGGUAUUCUGAUGAAAAUGGACACCCUCACCAGUCUUGUCAGCUUAGGGAACACCACUUGAGUGAAGGCAAUUUGUAUAGCCUCACUCAGGACAUAUCCUGAACAGAGGGACUCUAGGUCAGCCCACAGCAAAACCCAAAAUGAAACCAAGCCUCAGCGAAACAGUUAACAUUUUCUUCAGGAUCCGGGUUGGCAAACCAAUGUAGUUGCUGCCAGAAUGCACACUCAAGACAGCAAAAGAGUCCCACUAGACCAAAAUGGACUAAUACAAUCCAUAGGCCAGUAUUCAGGAGAGUGCACACCCUGAAAAGUCCAUCUGUCUGGUUUGGAAGAGUUAAAUUGCUCAGCAAUAUCCAGUCAAUAUAAACAUCUGGUUAAACAGUCACCCUAUUCUAACAGAGAUCAAUAUGCGUGGCUGUUUCAGUGAUCACAGGAUCAGCCUUAAAAUUUGUUCUGGACUCCAACCUUUAAGUUUGCACAGGACCUCAACUAGAAUAAGAACCUACACCAGGGAACCUUUACAGAUUAAGGUUAUGACUUCAGUUCUGAUCUCUUAUGAGAAGCAGCUGAUUCAGUUACCACUGAUUUAAUGAGGUGAAGUUGGUUGAGAAAGAUUCACCCAGAUUGGCUCAACAUGUUUUGAUUAGAAAAUGGCUGCUAGAGUGAAAUCCCAAUUAAAUAAUCAGAAGUUUUUCAGGAGGUUCAAAGAACUAUCAAAGGAGCCAAGACCACCUUGCAUGUUCACAAAGCAAUUCCACGAUUCUGCAAGGUGCACUAAGUGGCAUUUUUCCUAUGGACAAAAGUAGAGGCUGAAAUCAGAAGGCUGGAAAGCAAAGGAAUCCUGACCAGUCCAGUUUGCAUAAUGGGCAGUAACGGUCAUACCAAUUGUGAAGCCGAAUGGAUUGGUUUGCUUUUGUGGAAAUUUUAAAGAAACUGUGUGAACCAUUUCUCGCAGCUGGAUAAAUACUCAAUCCCUCGCAUAGAUAAUUUAUAUGCAAAGCUUGUAGUGGGCCUGUCCUUCACGAAGCUAGACAGGAGUCAUGCGUACUUGCAAUUACAGUUCCAAGAGAAUUCCCAGAAGUAUGCUACAAUUAAAUCCAAUAAGGAUUUGUACCAAAGUAGGCAACUGCCAUUUGGGGUAUUGUCAGCUUGUGCAAUUUUUCAGCAGACGAUGGAAAAUAUUUUCCAAAGUCUAACCCAGGUUACCAUUUAUCCAAAUGACAUGUUAAUAACCAGGAUGAUCAAUAAAGAGCACUUUAGCUUUAUCUAAAAUGUAUUAUUUUUCAGCAUGCAGAUCUUGUAAUUAAUUUUUGCUUAAUAGGAGGAGAGAACUUGGGGAUAAUCCUUAGACGUUUCUCCCAGGUGAGCAUGCGCAUGUGUUCCGUGCACCCGAAGAGAACUAUUAGGCUACAGAAUUGUCAAGACUGGGUCACACCUCUUGGAAGAUGGUGAGGACAAUCAAAGGUGCCCUGGCUCCCAUGUCUGAACCAGAGCUUAGAUCUUUCUUGGGCUGUUGAGUUAUGACAGUUAUACAUAGCCUUGCCUAUGAUGGCAACUUUGCAUCACUCUUAAAAGGUCAACUUCAGAAAUGGUCACAUAGCCAUCCAUUACCUUCAAAAAAGUGAAGAAACAGCUAUUUUCCUCUGUCAGGUGUUGGCAUAUUAUUAUCGUAAGCUAAAUGCGCCCAGAUAGAGAAGGAAGGUUUGGUGAUCAUAUUUGAAGUCAAGAAGUUCCACCAAUACCUUUUACGGGCAUAAAUUUGUGUAAUAAUGGACCACACACCCCUGCGAGAUCUACUUAGAGGACAAAGCAGUGCUGCCCAAAACAUCAGGCUGAAUUGAGCAGUGGGCUGAAUUAAGUGCAUAAAAUUACAAGUUGGAACAAGAUCUGGUCGGCUAAGUAGCACAUGUCGCCUCCUGCUGACAGAUACACCACCAGUGGUAUGCCACUAGAAGAGUCCAUAAAGGUUUUACAUUUUUUGGACACAAUUCUAGUCACAGCUGAGACUAUCAGACUUUGGGUGCAGAAUGAUCAGAUCCUGGCAAAACUCAAACAGCUCGUGGUGAUGGGCGAAACCAAAGGAUGUCACAACUAGAACUGAAAUGUUUUUGGAUCCAGAAAGGCAAUGUAGAGGCUGGCAUAUUGUUAUGAGGGGCAAGCAUGUUUGUUCCAAGUAAAGUUGCUGCCAGGUACUGGCUGAACUCCUUCUGGGUAAUUCAGGAGUUUUCAAAGUGAAGAUCUUAUGCCUGGUGGCCAGGAUUGGUCGCAUUCAAUGCUGAAUUGAUGGGGUACUACCCAGAGUGCCAAAAAGGACAAAAAUUACCACCAGCACCUCCCCCACAUUUUUGGAGAAUGGUUAGGUAAACCCUGGACUUCGGUUUGAUGUUCAAUUCACAGGCCCUUUCAUGGGGUGAAUGUUCUUAGUCAUUGUGGGUGCCCACUCAAAAUGGAUGACAUUCAUAGAAUUCAUUUGUCAAAUACGAGCUCGACAAUAGAAAACUGAGCACAUCCUUUACAAUGCAUGGAUUCCCGGAAGUAUUGGUCUCCGAUAAAAAGCCAUCAUUUACCAGCAGGGAGUUUGAGUAUUGACUCAAGUCAAAUGGUAUUAGCUGUAUAAAGACAGCUCCAUACCAGCUAACAUCCAAUAGUCUGACAGAAACAGCUGUCCAAGCUUUGAAGGCAGGCUUAAAGAAAUAGCCUACAGCUUCACUAACCACCAACGCCAAACCUUAGUAACUGUCUGAAGUGUGGGAUAAUUGUUCAUAACCGACAUGUCAUAUUUAACCUCACUUAUAACCACAUCUUUGCACCAUCUGAGAUUGCCUAUUUAUACAUCUGUAACAUGACCCAACUGUGCCCCUUCCCUCUUCAUUGGUUGAUGUCAAUGUCUAUACAUUUGAUAUUUGUUUUUAGACUAUUCCAACCUCCUUCCUACCCAAUCUACCACAACCUACCCUUUGCAAACUUGAGAUUGUCUAAUAGCCUGACUGUGUCCUAGUUUGGAUCAAGACCCAUUUGACUCAUCAUAAUUGACCUCUCUGACCAUCUUGUCUCCUGGUUAGAUAUCAUUUCAAUUUUAAAAUCUUUUCAUUGUCAUACCCAUCUUGACCCUUGACCAUUCUGGCAUCUUGAGCAUCCGAUUUCAGUCACUCCACCAUUGACUUUCUUUUUUAAAAAAACCUGCUAAGAUAAAUGCAAGAUGAAAAGUUUCAGUGAGAUCUCCCUUUUGGGCAAUAAUCUUUUUAUACUCAUUCCUAGAAUGAGUGUGCUACUAGCAAGACCAUUAUUUAUUAACCUUAAAGUGGUGGUGAGCAACCUUUUUGAACUUGAUCAAUGCAUCUGGUAUCAGUAAACCGACAGUGCUUUUAGGAAGUGAGUUCCAGAUUUUGAUCCAGUGUCAGUAAAGGAGUGGUGAUAUAGUCUCAGUUUGGGAUGGUGUGUGCCUUGGAUGGGAACUGCCGAUGGUGAUAUCCUCGUACAUCUGCUGCUCUUGUUCUUUGUUGAUAGAAGUUGUGGAUUUGGGAGAAGAUUUGCUGAAGGAUGUUUGACAGGGUGAUACAGUACGUGUAUAUUUUACGCUCUGCCACUGUAUACCGGUAGUGGAGAGAUGAAUGAGUUUUGAGGUAACAAAUGAGAUAAAGAUCAAGCAGAUUACUUUCUCCUGAAUAAUGACAAGGUUCUUGAGUAUAGUUAGAUCUGCAAUUACACAACUAAAUAGAGACCACAGAAUAUUAUUGUUAAUGGAAACCUAUUAAAUGGAAUUUUCCUCCAACUGUUUAAGUUUUAUAUAUAAUACAAAGAAGAUGUUAAUCACUUUACUAUUGAAGCUAGAGUUGCACCUCUGUGUUUGUCAGCCAGUGCUGUAAAUGAUUAAUAAUACAGGAAGAAGCUGUAAAUUCAGCAAACUUCACAAACCCAUGUUUGGUCGGUUUUUGCUCGUCUGUUAUGACAUUGGAGCAGAUCAGUUUUCUUGUAAAUCCAUAAUUAUGCAGGUCAAAAUGUCUAAAAUUAAAAAUAUUAAAUACAGAUGCAACAUAUUGAGUGUGUUGGAAAUCUGAAAUAUAAACAGAAAAUUCUGGAUACUCGGGCCCAUGCAGCAUCUGCUUAAAUUUUGUUAUACCAGUAAGUUGUUGUUUCUGUUAGCAAUCUUAAAUAAAGUUAUAUUUGCAAUUAAAA